rnacentral:tRNA from 1 species
UCCUUGGGGGUCCAGUGGCUAAGACUCUGUGCUUCUAAUGCAGGGGGCCCUGGUUUGAUCCCUGGUCAGGGAG